UAUGUACCCAGUAGUCAUUCAGGAGCAGGUUGUUCACCUCCUAGGAAACUUUUUAAUGUCUUCUGACCUUUAUAGGAUUUUUAAAACAUUAAUGAUGUCAAUGGCAAAGGAAAUCUACAUGCUACUGUGUAUAGCAAGACAAUGAUUUCACUACAAAAUACAAAAAUUUAAAAUAGAAAUUAAAAUUAGAUAUAGCCUAGUAAUAUCUUUUAUGUUAAUAAAAUGAGAUAAUAGGCAAAGGUAUGUAUUCAGAGUAGAUUUACUUGGAAAUGGAGAAACAAGUGGGAACUACCUGUGCUGUAUACCUAUCCUGUUAAGCGUCAAAAUUCUAGAAUCAGACUAGUGGACUUGAAUCCCAGCUUCACUACUUAACUACUUAGCAAAUCAUGGAUAAAAGACUUAAAUUAUCUGUGCCAUAGUUUCCUUAUCUGUAUAAAUGAGUGUAGUGCUAUCAAACUAAUAAGGUUGCAUAAAAAUUGCAAAUAAAAUACUUAAAACAGUGUUUGGCACAUUGUGAAUGCACACACAUACAAAUGGAUAGUAUAAUUAAUAAAACACAAAGCAUCACUUUUAAAGAGGAAAAAAUGUAUUUCUACAUUUACACAUUUUUUAACUUUGUCAAAAUAGGGUUUUAUAAGAGUCUAGUCAUGCUGCUCUCUUCUUUUUCUGCUACCACCACCAAAUGAUUACCUCUGGGAUAAACUAAGAUUCUCCUGACGAAGUGAGAAAAUUCCAGGAGGCUUUACCUGUUGGGGUGUCCCUGAGCUGCAUCUUUAUGAAGUACUUGUAGCAAAAGCAAUGGAUUGACACCUCCAGUGGCCAGGAGGGUUAGUUGCCAAUUACACAGAGCUAAGCCCCUUGCCAGGAACUGCUCUGUCCUUCUCCCAGAGGGCAGCCCGCACACAAUGACUGAUGGAGAACAAAUGCCUUGACAAUUCAGGACAACUCUGAAAAACUAUCCCAAUUCCAGAGCUUCCCUUUGGAUCAACGGAGGCCUCUGUUAUAGCUGCAUUACAGAUGAACUCUGCCCUCUGCUCAAUCCUGCUUUCCUCACCCUUCACAAAUGUUAUUCCUGGAAUUUCUCAGCAAUAAACUUCCUGCACACUUAUCCCAGAAACUGUUCCCUGAAGAACCUCACUUACUAGAGUUGGUACUAGAAGUGAUUUUAGAAGAGGAGUGGCUUACUAACCAACUGGCCACGGAGCCCCUAUCUCUGGUGGUAGAUGGUGGAUAGAUAGCACUUGGGGUAGUCUGAGGGCAAUUACAAACCUUUCACAAGUGGUGAAACUAAUACUGGAAUCCUGGAGAAGGGACUGCACCAGGAGGUGCAACAUUGUAGGCAUUUGGGAGAUCCAAGGACAACUCAAGGAUUAUAGAAUCAGAUGAAUGGAAGCCCUCAAUGUACUAGUUAAUCAACAAUAUAAGGUAAAUUUUCUAAGCCAGAAGUUCUUCUUAGCAGCAUAUAAAGAGUCUCUUCCAGAAUAGCCAGAGGUCAAAAUAACCCGAUGUUCUUGUGCCAGGACUAAGAUUAGCAGAACUCUAGAGAUAGAUGCAUUACCAACCUUAGCAGAUAUGCUGGGCUGGGUCAAGUCCUUGAUUAUGAAGGAAUAAGACUCAGACACCUGAAAUGGUUACAUCUGGGUCAAGGAAGCUGGAAUUCUUGAAUACCCAGAUCAUUCUGAACACUUUAGGCAUGUAAUAUCCUAAACUACCUCUCCAACAGAUCAAAACAUAAGCUUUCUCCCCUUGCUUAAAUAUAAUGAAAAGAGUCUUCUUUGUUAGAUAACAUGUGCUCCCCUCAUAAUCUACCCUCAUCUAUCUUCCUAUUGGACCAAUGAAAGGGUCAAUUCACAGCAUAACCCUGCCCUGCCAAGAAGUGCUGGGCUGGCUAAGGAAGAAAAUGAGGCAGUGCACAGAAGGAGCUGCUGGACCCAGCCAACAUGCUGGGUCAAGAACAUGGAGAGUAUGUGUGGGGCCAGAUGCUGAUAAUGCUGGAUCAAGGAGGGAGAGGAACAGAUGUCAAGUAAAACAAGAGAAAGUACCAAUAUGGGAGCAUUCACAUAUAAUACAAGAUUUCAAAUCCUAGAACUAGAACCUAUUAGAAAGGACCCUGGGAUACAGUGCUUAUACACACUGGUUGAGCCGUAGAAGCUUAGUAAAAGAGAUGGUCCACUCUAAGAGAAGUAGAGACACCAAAUCUACCUUGAAAAAGGGGAAGAAGUAAUCAAAUACCUCAAAUGAAUAAGCAUUCUAAAGUGGAUAUACUAUCUAAAGCCAAACAACUAACUGGUUAACUAUCAUGGGGGAGCCAGAGUAAGUAUGUUAAGUUCUCUUCUGUUGACUAGACCACUUUGAGUGUACCAUCUGUUAUUUGUACUUGUUUUAAAAAUCAAAAUGUGUGUCUACAAUGAAAAGCAAUGACAGUUUGAGUUACCAAAGUGCUAAGGGAUGUGCUACUAGGAUGGGCACCAACGUUGUUAGUAAAGUCAGUGGAGCUGUCCUCUCUAUGCCAGUCUUGCCCUCCAUAGACAACAUAUAUUGCUGAAGGACUGGCUUCCCCAAGAGCAAUGUGGUGGUAUGCUCCCCAGAUCAGAGAGACUGUCUGGUAGCACCUGAUCAUCAGAAACAAGCAAAAUGCAGUGAUUAUUAUGAAUGUCACAGUCAGAGAUAAAAGACAAUCCUAUACUUUCCACACUUAAAAACUAUAAACUACAAGCUUUGUUUUUUAUCAUCCCAGUCAACAGCUGUGAAUAUCUGGAAAUGCACUAGAUACUACAUAUGAACAUUUUUUCUUAGUCACUUCUGAGAAGGAAAAAAAAGAUAAUUCAGGGUAGCUGGAUUUUAGAUCCAUGUCUUUUUCCUUGAUCUAUAAAAUCUAAUUCAUUAAAACCUAAUCAACAUGUAGAAAGUAAUACUCCAGGCAGGACUUUUCUGAAAGGCAACUUUCUACUUAUAAGAAGAGGACAAGAAGGUUCUUCUGAUUCUUCUAACAGAUGUCAUUAUCCUUUGAAAUAUUGCCGUGGACACACAUACUUACAAUUUGAUACAAGUCUCAGAAAGGGGAAAAAAGUAGUCCCAAUCAUCAUAGGAGGUAAGUUUGGAAAAGCUUGGAAAGAUUUAUACCAGCAUUUUAACAGUGCAUACUUCCAAAUGAUUGACCCAUUGCUGUGUGUGUGAUUCUCUGCUCCUCUAGAUCCAUUCUCCUGACCUCUCUGCCAUGAAUGGCCCUGGGGUGGUGGACCGCUAUGGACUCCAUCAUCAGGCUCUCUGGCCUCUUGCUCACUGGGUUCAGACAAUGAAUUCCGAGCCCUCCCAGAGCCAGAGAUGAGUAGUAGAGGAGAGGAAGGGUGGGAUAUUUUUACUCGUGUCCUCUCCCAAUCUGGCUGUAGUUCUUGGUUCACAUAUGAAUUUAUGUCCUGUUGGGUGGCCAUUCUCCCAUGGUUAAAAUCCUAGUUAAGUUUCAGUAACACUCUUUUUUUCUUGUGCCCAUCUAAUCAGAGGGAUGGUAAUGAUUUCUCACCGAUACCUGGCUCUGAGUUCUUUUUAGUUCUCUUUGCCCUCCUCACACUCCUGUAAGCAUUCUCAUUGUUAAGUUCUCUUCUAUUGAAUAAGCACUGUGAGUGAACCAUCUGCUUCUUGUUAGGACACUGACUGAUAAAAACUGGUAAAUUUUUCUUCUUUAUUUGUGCUUGUUUUAAAAAUCAAAAUGUGUGUCUACAAUGAAAAAGCAAUGACAGUUUGAGUUUCAUAUUAUUAUGUUAGUUUUGCACCUCAGUUGGGGAAAUAAUGAGAAAUUUGUAACUUCAUACCAUUUUCCUUGACAAUGUUAAUAAAAAUUACAUGAGCUGGCCCUUUGGCUGUUUUUGGUUUGGCUAUGUGGUUUAUUCCAAGUGAAAACAUUUUGGGGGAGUGGGUGGAGACAGAUGAUGGAGUCACAUACCUUGGGUUUUGCUUUGUUUUGCCUCUGAUCUCAGCAAAGUUCAAAAUUAUUUCUCUCUUUCCAUAUUUCUGUUCAUAGAUAAGGCCUAUACUGAUGAGUUAAGAGCUUGUGUUACCGAAAGUCGUAGUUGAACUAAACUAAGAUUAGCAAAGUAGAUAUCCAAGACUAACCUGUUAAGUUGUCUAAUCCUAAAAAUUGCAACAAAUUAAAGGCAGCAUCUGCAGAUAUUCCUAUAGCAUACCACCAUAUAUAUACAUCUGUAUCAUGCUAUUGCUCAUUUGGGGUGGUGCCUAAAAAUACCCCCAUUGUCACAUAAUAAUAUAUACACACACAAUCUCUUCAUUUUGAUUUCAAGCAUUUUAUAGAAAAAUAAAGUUAUAGCUCUAAUUAAAGUUGGCUAAGUUAGGAAAUGCUUGUCUCAUUUGAAACAGUGGCUUGAAUUUCAAUACCUAGGGACACUAUUCCUCCCCCAUGCAUUAUGAAAAGAGAAGUAAUUAAGUUCCUAUAUAUAGAAAGAAUUGGUUUGCUGUUUAGACACAUCAUUUACUUUUUGCUCAACUGCUCCAUGGGAAGGCAGACAGAUAUAGCUUCAGAUGUGUGCCUGUGCAUCUGUGCAGCUUGUUCAAAACAAACACCUAAACUCUUGGGACCACUCCGUUAGAGAGUGAAAUAAUGAAAACAUUUUAUCGAGAGAGAAAUAUCAGCUUCUGACAGACUCAUCUCAGUUGUCCCCCUUCAACUGAAGCAUUUU
rnacentral:lncRNA from 1 species